GCCCUGAUCGCUUAGUCGGUUAAAGCGAAGGUCUCAUAAUCCUUAGCCCCCAGUUCGAUUCUGGGUCGGGGCA
rnacentral:tRNA from 1 species